GCCUGGCCCAACUAUUAUAGCAUAUUCAUAAAACAAGAGAAAAGGUCCACAGAGGAAAUUACUCCCCAGGAGGAAAUGUCUUUCUAUUGGGUGUGCAAAUUCCUCGUAUGCAACCAGUCUGUGCAGGUGCAAAAAAGCUUCAUUCCUGUUGCCGAGACUUUGUUCGCAGCAGAAAGUCCAGUGGCCCUUGCCCCUUUCUUAUUAUUAUAACGGGAGAAUAAGAAUGAAUCCCGGGUCCAACGUAGAUCUUUAGAAUAAUGCCUUCGAUCGAUUACAGAGACAGGACAGGGGCAACACCUAUAAUAGGAUAGAUGGAAGAGCCUUAGGACGAAGUAGGGUCUUGUUCCCCGGAAGCAAGUACUGAAUCUGUUUAAAGAGAGUAGAUUCGUUCAAUAUCCAAGUGAUAGCACUGAGACUCGGUUGACAAGCUCAUUGGCAAGACCGGAGGUUGUAUACAAGAAAGGAGGUUUCAAAGAGUAUUGGUAAGAUCGGAGGGAUGAGGAAUCGUCAUUGAGUGAAAGACUGAUCUUGUCACGACCGGGAAUCGAACCCGUGUGCCGGAAAGAUAUCCGGAUAAAAUUACUCAAGUCGAUACGGAAGUAAUUUUCAUAUUAUAGUAAUUUUUUAUUUUUGUUAUUCUAAAGAGUGGUACAAUUUGUUAUGUAAUUUUUUCGGCAAUUGACAAUCGAAGAAUUGAAAUGAAAAGCGAUUCACGGCUCUCGAUCUAGCUACCGUCCGGUAAAUGAAGAAGGUUAUUGCUUUCCCGAUCGAGAAAGGAAGUGAGAGUUCCAGUCUCAUUCUCCCAUUCGAGAAGAGAAAAAGAAUCUUUAAAGAAAAAAAAAAGAAGAAGGGAGGGAAUGUCGGGACCAAUGAACAACUAAGGCCCCACGUCCUCUAUAAAGAAAUGUCGUCGCUAAGAUCACAGCCUUUCCCAGAUUCUCUCACUCAACAAAUCGACAGAGAGAAGGCAACAAGCAUCACCUUUUCUCAAUAAACGAAUAUUGCUCCCAAUUCAACGAUGUCGAGCUCUCUCUCAAUUCAAUCUCGACCAACCACCUUACAACCAUCGAUUUUAUCCCAGAAAAGAAAGAGGCGCGAAGCCAAAGUCUUUUCAUUUUCAUUCUUACAAUUCUAUGAGUAAAGCCUAGAUAAGACUCGAUUAAGAAGAUUGAACAACGUAGCUCCUUAGCUCGAUCUCGAAGAACGAAUGCCG
rnacentral:misc_RNA from 1 species